GGGGCCGAAAUAGGAUCGACGAACGUCUAAAGAUGUUAGCUUUUACUCGGCGGGAUGGCCACCGAUAUCGGCGCAAAACGUAUAGUUGCAAAUGACAAUUAUGCUCCGGUAGCAGUUGCUGCUUAAGCAGUAACCAAACCGAAACCUAAGUCCAGUCCGAUAGCUCGCACUGGCGGGGUUCGCAGGCACCUGGCAACAGAAGCCUGCACU
rnacentral:tmRNA from 1 species